UGUAGGAGUGAGCCUGCUCGCGAUAGCGGUGUGUCAGUUAAAUUUAUCGAGACUGACACACCGCUAUCGCGAGCAGGCUCACUCCUACA
rnacentral:antisense_RNA from 1 species